rnacentral:rRNA from 1 species
GAUGAACGCUGGCGGCGUGCCUAAUACAUGCAAGUCGAGCGAACGGACGAGAAGCUUGCUUUUCUGAUGUUAGCGGCGGACGGGUGAGUAACACGUGGAUAACCUACCUAUAAGACUGGGAUAACUUCGGGAAACCGGAGCUAAUACCGGAUAAUAUUUUGAACCGCAUGGUUCAAAAGUGAAAGACGGUCUUGCUGUCACUUAUAGAUGGAUCCGCGCUGCAUUAGCUAGUUGGUAAGGUAACGGCUUACCAAGGCAACGAUGCAUAGCCGACCUGAGAGGGUGAUCGGCCACACUGGAACUGAGACACGGUCCAGACUCCUACGGGAGGCAGCAGUAGGGAAUCUUCCGCAAUGGGCGAAAGCCUGACGGAGCAACGCCGCGUGAGUGAUGAAGGUCUUCGCAUCGUAAAACUCUGUUAUUAGGGAAGAACAUAUGUGUAAGUAACUGUGCACGUCUUGACGGUACCUAAUCAGAAAGCCACGGCUAACUACGUG